ACGUAGGUGGCGAGCGUUGUCCGGAAUUAUUGGGCGUAAAGCGCGCGCAGGUGGUUAUACAAGCCUCAUUUAAAAGUGCUGAGCUCAACUCAGUGAUGGGUGAGAAACUGUAUGACUUGAGUGCAGGAGGGGUAGGCGGAAUUCCUAGUGUAGCGGUGAAAUGCGUAGAUAUUAGGCGGAGCCCCAGAGGCGAAGGCGGCCUACUGGACUGCAACUGACUCUGAGGCGCGUAAGCCAGGGGAACACACGG
rnacentral:rRNA from 1 species